GAUGAACGCUGGCGGCGUGCCUAAUACAUGCAAGUCGAGCGAACAGACGAGGAGCUUGCUCCUCUGACGUUAGCGGCGGACGGGUGAGUAACACGUGGAUAACCUACCUAUAAGACUGGGAUAACUUCGGGAAACCGGAGCUAAUACCGGAUAAUAUAUUGAACCGCAUGGUUCAAUAGUGAAAGACGGUUUUGCUGUCACUUAUAGAUGGAUCCGCGCCGCAUUAGCUAGUUGGUAAGGUAACGGCUUACCAAGGCGACGAUGCGUAGCCGACCUGAGAGAGUGAUCGGCCACACUGGAACUGAGACACGGUCCAGACGCCUACGGGAGGCAGCAGUAGGGAAUCGUCCGCAAUGGGCGAAAGCCUGACGGAGCAACGCCGCGUGAGUGAUGAAGGUCUUCGGAUCGUAAAACUCUGUUAUUAGGGAAGAACAAAUGUGUAAGUAACUAUGCACGUCUUGACGGUACCUAAUCAGAAAGCCACGGCUAACUACGUG
rnacentral:rRNA from 1 species